GCCCGCCUUCAGGUAGCUUUUGAGGGUGCUCGUGAAAGGUUGAGGGUUGCAGCGGAGCGCCGCAAGAGUCACCAUGACCAACGAGUUCAACAUGCUCCCCUGAAGGUUGGUCAAUUAGUGUGGUUAAGGGACUUCACCCCACGAGGACGUCAUAAGAUCCAUGACCUAUAUGGCCCAGUAAAGUAUAAAGUCCUCAGAGAGCCCAGUGAGGGAGGUUCAGUGUAUACUAUAGCACCUGUAACUGAUCUAGCUAAAACCAGAAAUGUUAAUCGCAUACUGUUAAAGGCGGUGGUAGAAGAGUCUGGAGAAGGUGCCAUUGGUCCCAGCUCACCACUUGGUGAUCAUCGCUUUGAAGAUGAGAUGUCAGGUGAUGAGGAUAUGUAUGUUUUGGUGAGUAGCAAUCCUCCUGCUCCAACAGUGGUGCAGGCUAACCAACCUUUUCAGUCAGGGGAUCCACUACCUCAGUUGCCAGGUCCAUCAGGCAUUGUUACUCAUGGGGGAGUAGCAUCUUCUGGUCAUUCACCUGGUCCUUCUAGGGCUGAAAGUGAACUAGUUUUGCGGCGGUCAGCAAGGACAACUGCAGGCCAGCAUUCUAAUAUUAACCGUCUUCCCAGACCAGCAGGUGAAGCUCCACAGGCUGUAGCCUCUUCUGAUCCUCCAGCCAACUCUAUUUUUGUCCUAUUUAGACCAUGGAAUUGAGUCGUCGGGACGACGACACAAAAAGGGGGGGUAGAAUGUGGCAGGAAGAGGUAUAGGCUGCACCUGCUGGCGGGGUGAUUGCAAGUGGGCCAAUAGCGCCAGAGGGCGCUCAGUAUAAAAGUAGAGGUGAGCUCCAGUCUGACGUUGUUUGCUGUUGACACACCGCGCUUCCGGGUUGAGCUGUCUGUGCGCCGAGUACAGAAACGGACGGGCGUAUUUACCUCUACGUUGAUCGUGGGUGAGGUGGUUCCUUCAAAAAGUGCCAACAUUGAGCGUUCCCAUUUGGGUGCAAGUGUGGAGAGCUUGGCCUAAUUGGAAUUUCGACUGGUUGCCACACAUAACGCUGCUGCUUUGCCUGCACCAAGUCACCGCUUACUUAGUGGUUGCAAGAGAGAGACCGGCUGCCUGGGACACGCCCCCCCCCUUCCGGAAUCGAAACAAGGAGCGGCUGAUCGCAUUCAUUUCGGAUUGGAUUGGACUGGGUUGCUCAUUUUGCUGUGCCGUCGAGCACAGGGAUUUUAUGGUUUUAUUUCGACAUUUUUAUUUUUUUAUUGCCUGUAUUUUUAACAAAUUGUCUUUUCUUUUUUUAUUUUCUAGACCACCGGUGGUGCGCUCGGGCCUGGAUGUGGCGUCCCUUUUUGGUGUGACUGUGUAGUGAUCAAUAUCAAUAGGUGGAGGGAAUUACAAGGAGUGAGUGACUUCACGGGUGUUUUGAUUUCUUUGCUUUGGAGCCUACCACCCAGGAC